GAUGAAGAACGUAGCGAAAUGCGAUAAGUAGUGUGAAUUGCAGAAUUCCGUGAAUCAUCGAGUCUUUGAACGCACAUUGCGCCUCAUGGCAUUCCGUGAGGCAUGCCCAUCUCAGCGUUAGAAAAUAUUCUCAAAUUUUAGUUUUGUGCUAAAAUUUGGAUCAUGUCAAGGAAGCUAUUACUAUUAUUGUGAUCGCUCUUUGGAAAUUGAUAGGUCUUUGAGUUGCUACUCAUAGAACGUGAUGAAUCUUUCUUCGUUCUAUUGUAAUUCACUCUGGUAGUCCUAAAACUUGUAUGCCUGUGGCAUAUCUUGUAAUUUGACCUGAGAUUGGGUAGGGAUACCCGCUGAACUUAAGCAUAUCAAUAAGCGGAGGA
rnacentral:misc_RNA from 1 species